AAUAGAUACCCCGGUAGUCCACGCCGUAAACGAUGUCGACUUGGAGGUUGUUCCCUUGAGGAGUGGCUUCCGGAGCUAACGCGUUAAGUCGACCACCUGGGGAGUACGGCCGCAAGGUUAAAACUCAAAUGAAUUGACGGGGGCCCGCACAAGCGGUGGAGCAUGUGGUUUAAUUCGAUGCAACGCGAAGAACCUUACCUACUCUUGACAUCCAGAGAACUUAGCAGAGAUGCUUUGGUGCCUCCGGGAACUCUGAGACAGGUGCUGCAUGGCUGUCGUCAGCUCGUGUUGUGAAAUGUUGGGUUAAGUCCCGCAACGAGCGCAACCCUUAUCCUUUGUUGCCAGCGGUUCGGCCGGGAACUCAAAGGAGACUGCCAGUGAUAAACUGGAGGAAGGUGGGGAUGACGUCAAGUCAUCAUGGCCCUUACGAGUAGGGCUACACACGUGCUACAAUGGCGUAUACAAAGAGAAGCGACCUCGCGAGAGCAAGCGGACCUCAUAAAGUACGUCGUAGUCCGGAUUGGAGU
rnacentral:rRNA from 1 species